rnacentral:lncRNA from 1 species
GAUUGGAGCAUGAGGCAAAACAAAACCUCUUGAAGCUUCCAGCUGGCUGAGCUGCGUAUCUGUACAGCAAUGUUACAUGUGUUUUAAAACAUGAUUAACAAGGCAGUUGCCAAGCUUUUCUUAUGGUUUGUUUAAUGAGCUUCUGAAUGGUGGAAAUAAUCAGAAAAGUUCUCAAUUCAUGCCUAUCCUUAAGGACAAACACCAACAUUUUUUCCUUUUUUUUUUUCUCAGACCGCUGAGCCCAGUGAUCCAGUCUUAUGCUUGGAGGGACUGUGACAGGUGUAUAUGCCCAGAAGGAAACACAGGAGGAGAAAGUCUACAGACUGGAACAGCAAGGACAGUGGGCAAAUUGUGGAAAUGCUUCACUCCUAGAAGGUUGCUGAGAUUUUUGCUACGUAGAUGUAAAAGUGCCCAAGGAGAGACUUGGAGAGUGUGGAAGUUAAACUCUGUUGGGACUGGGUGCUGUAUUCACCACACCUAGGACUGCAGUCACUAGGAAACCCUUUCCUGCAAUUGGAUCCCCUGACAGGCAGAGGUGAUUGUGGCACUGAUUGCUUCUGGAACACAGAUCCCCUGGAAUCAGUUUCUGCCUGUAAAUGAAGACUCUGCUGUGCCUUUUGCAUAUGAGGGAACAAAAUGAACUUCACUGCUCUAUUAUUCAUCUUUGGCUUUGUAAAACAUUCCUUUAACUAGUUUGUGGCAGAAAUACUUGUUUGCUCUCAGGUAGGUACCUGUUCUG